rnacentral:rRNA from 1 species
AUGGCGUCGCCGCCGCCGUGGUCCGACGACCUCCUAGGCCUCUUCGUCGCCGUCCUCGACGCGGUGUGCUCUUCCAGCUGGCGCUCCGUUGCUUCUCCGUCGCCUUCUUCGCCGUGGCCGGAACUCCCAGACGAGAUCCUAAAUCUGGUGAUGGCUGGCCUCCCUAACCUGGCAGACCGCGCUCGAUUCCAGGCGGUCCUCACGUCUGCCGCAGCGGCCUUGGAUCAUGCUGCCCGGCGGCUUCUACAACCACGACGAUAUCUACACUUACAUCAGAGAGUGCACAGGACACGGGUUCGCCACUGGCAAGUAGGAGUACACCCCGUUCAAACGCUCCAACAUCAAUAG